rnacentral:rRNA from 1 species
UACGUAGGGUGCAAGCGUUGUCCGGAAUUAUUGGGCGUAAAGAGCUCGUAGGCGGUGUGUCGCGUCGGCCGUGAAAACCUGGGGCUCAACUCUGGGCGUGCGGUCGAUACGGGCAUCACUGGAGUUCGGCAGGGGAGACUGGAAUUCCUGGUGUAGCGGUGAAAUGCGCAGAUAUCAGGAAGAACACCCGUGGCUAAGGCGGCUCUCUAGUACGGUACUGACGCUGAGACGCGAAAGCGUGGGGAGCGAACAGG